rnacentral:rRNA from 1 species
UGGGGAAUAUUGGACAAUGGGCGAAAGCCUGAUCCAGCCAUGCCGCGUGUGUGAAGAAGGUCUUCGGAUUGUAAAGCACUUUAAGUUGGGAGGAAGGGCAUUAACCUAAUACGUUAGUGUUUUGACGUUACCGACAGAAUAAGCACCGGCUAACUCUGUGCCAGCAGCCGCGGUAAUACAGAGGGUGCAAGCGUUAAUCGGAAUUACUGGGCGUAAAGCGCGCGUAGGUGGUUUGUUAAGUUGGAUGUGAAAGCCCCGGGCUCAACCUGGGAACUGCAUCCAAAACUGGCAAGCUAGAGUACGGUAGAGUGUGGUGGAAUUUCCUGUGUAGCGGUGAAAUGCGUAGAUAUAGGAAGGAACACCAGUGGCGAAGGCGACCACCUGGACUGAUACUGACACUGAGGUGCGAAAGCGUGGGGAGCAAACA